UUCCGGUUGAUCCUGCCAGAGGUUACUGCUAUCGAGGUUCGACUAAGCCAUGCGAGUCGAAUGUAGCAAUACAUGGCGUACUGCUCAGUAACACGUGGAUAACCUACCCUUGAGUUGGGAAUAAACCCGGGAAACUGGGUAUAAUACCCGAUAGAUCUCGACUGCUGGAAUGCAUCGAGAUCCAAAGCUCCGGCGCUCAAGGAUGGAUCUGCGGCCUAUCAGGUAGUAGUGGGUGUAGCGUACCUACUAGCCUACGACGGGUACGGGUUGUGGGAGCAAGAGCCCGGAGAUGGAUUCUGAGACACGAAUCCAGGCCCUACGGGGUGCAGCAGGCGCGAAAACUUUACAAUGCUGGAAACAGCGAUAAGGGGACCUCGAGUGCCAGGUUACAAAUCUGGCUGUCGUGAUGCCUAAAAAGCAUUGCAUAGCAAGGGCCGGGCAAGACCGGUGCCAGCCGCCGCGGUAACACCGGCGGCUCGAGUGGUAACCGUUAUUAUUGGGUCUAAAGGGUCUGUAGCCGGCCGGAUAAGUCUCUUGGGAAAUCUGGCAGCUUAACUGUCAGGCUUUCAGGAGAUACUGUCUGGCUCGAGGCCGGGAGAGGUGAGAGGUACUUCAGGGGUAGGGGUGAAAUCUUGUAAUCCUUGAAGGACCACCAGUGGCGAAGGCGUCUCACCAGAACGGACCUGACGGCAAGGGACGAAAGCUAGGGGCACGAACCGGAUUAGAUACCCGGGUAGUCCUAGCCGUAAACGAUACUCGCUAGGUGUCGGCAACGGUGCGACCGUUGUCGGUGCCGUAGGGAAGCCGUGAAGCGAGCCACCUGGGAAGUACGGCCGCAAGGCUGAAACUUAAAGGAAUUGGCGGGGGAGCACCACAACGGGUGGAGCUUGCGGUUUAAUUGGAUUCAACGCCGGAA
rnacentral:rRNA from 1 species